AUGUCUUGGAACGUUAGAGGACUGAAUGCGCCGGCCAAGCGUGAGGCCAUUCGAGAAACUGCUGCUGCUCACAAGACAGCCAUUCUGACGCUUCAAGAAACAAAGAUAGAUGUUUGGUCUUUAGAAAUUGCGCGUGAGGUAGGGGGACAGCUCCUGCAGGGUUGUGUGGUUCUUCCGGCCCUGGGGACGAGGGGCGGCGCUGCAAUUUUCUGGAACAAAGAAGUAGUUUCCAUCGAAUCUCACUCCAUAGGUAGAUUCACCAUCACGGUCAAGGUCACUGAACUUAGCAACAAUGUUCAGUACUGGCUGACGAUGGCAUACGGGCCAACUGAGGAAACCAUUAGAGAGGAGUUUUUUCUUGAGAUGGCCAGCAUUGCACCACCAGCGGGAGAGCUGUGGCUGAUCACAGGAGAUUUCAACAUGAUUUAUGAAGCUAGAGACAAGAGCAACUCGAACCUGAACAGGAGGCUUAUGGGCAGAUUCAGGAAAGCUUUAGAUUUUGCGGGCUUAAAAGAAAUCAAAUGCCACAACAGAAGAUUCACUUGGAGCAAUGAAAGAGAGAACCCAACCUUCUGUAGCAUCGAUAAGUUCUUCUGCAAUGUAGACUGGGAGGCUAUGCACAAUGGAUUCAUGCUGAAUGCAGCAUCCACAUCCUUCUCGGAUCACUGCCCGGUGCUCCUCUCCCCUUGUGCUAGCCCACCAAGACCAGCAAGAUUCAAGUUUGAAAACCACUGGCCCAAGUUCCCAAACUUCCAAGAAACGGUGAUGCAUGCAUGGAACAGACCUGUCUCCCAUGACUGUCCUUACAUCAGACUGAAGACAAAAUUGCAGCGAACUGCAAAGGAUUUAAGGAUCUGGAGCAAAUCACUUUUCAGCAAGGCCAAGAUGCAGUUCCAUAUAGCAAAUGAAGUCAUUUUAAGACUAGACAUCGCCCAGGAAAACAGGCAGCUUACCCAGGAAGAAUUUGCACUAAGAAAAAUGCUCAAAACCAGAGUGCUCGGCCUUGCGGCAAUUGAGAGAGCUAGAAGAAGACAGGCCUCCCGGGUGCUAUGGAUUAGGGCCGGAGAUGCAAGCACAAAAUUCUUCCACGCCAAGUGCAGCAACAGAAGGAGAAAAAACUUCAUACACUCUCUGCAAACUGAAGGAGGGGAGGUCUUAACCCAGCAUCAGGAGAAGGCCCAAGAGAUUUUCAAACACUUUUCAAAUUAG
rnacentral:rRNA from 1 species